CUGUAGAAGCAGAAAGAACAUAGGGAUGGUUUUUGUUCUGGUUUUGAUGCUUUAUUACUUUACGGUACUGAGUUUCUCUAAUCGCAGUCACAAUUUUGAACCUGUAAUUAUGUCAAGAUCCCAGAAUAUUAACAGCUUUCUGACUGCUCUCUUAAAAAGCAGACUUAGAUAUCUCUUUAGCCUCGCAGCGUAAAUACUCUAAUUAGCAACAUUACUAACCUAACCUCCCUUCCUCCUUCCUUAUAUACAGGAACCAAUAAGUGAGUUGAACUAGAUUGUCUGACUAGAAGAAGUGGAACUGUAUGAAAGGGUACUUACAACAUGUAUAAAUUUAAAGGGAAAGGGGAUAAUUCUUUUCAUUUAUCAAAAAAAGCAGUCUGAUUGUGGGCCUGGUAUGAGUUAGUAGGCAAAGGGAGGCUGAGGCAUUCCUCUGGUUGUGUUUGGAUCAGCUGUGGAUGGAGCUGCAAUGGAGAAGUUGGCUUCCUCUCAAAUGACUGUACAAGGAAAACAGCCAAAUUUCAUACAAAAAUUUGGACACACAACUCUACAAGAAGGAGAAGAUUUAAUCCUGCAUUGCACAGUACAUGGAAAGCCCAAACCUCAUGUCUGCUGGACCAAGGAUGAUAUCCAAGUGGUAGCUGGAGACAUCAGUAUUGAGAAAUUAGGAGAUAACUACUACCUCUUAAAAAGAAAUGUGGCCCUUGCUGAUACUGGGAAGUAUAUCUGCAUUGCCAGCAAUGAAGUCGGAAAGGCACACUGUUCUGCCAUAGUAACAGUGAUAGGUGAUUCUCCUUGGCCAGCUGCAUGCUUUAAGGCAUGUUAAAUGAGAGCUUCAUUUCCAAUUACUGAUGUAUAUGUCUUGUUUCAGAGAAAAAUAAAAACUCAGAAGUUUCCA
rnacentral:lncRNA from 1 species